rnacentral:lncRNA from 12 species
GUCUUCUUAUUCCCAUAUCACUGCCCCAAAUCCAGAUGGAAGUGAAAACAAAUCUUACAAACAGAAGAGCCAACAAGGGAGGAAGAGAAAUAUUGUCACAGGGAAUAAAGAUCCAGAAGAGGAGGAUGUGCUUUCAUUUUCUGGAAUCAUCUCUAACCCCAAAGUGUAAAAGAAAACAAGAAAAGCUUGUGAAGGCUAGGGAGAAGAGCGGCCAGACUCUACACACAGGAAGUAGAGGCCUAAGAAAAGGGGAAAAGGAGCAAUGACUAGCUUAAGAAAUCAUUUCCUUAGAAUAGGGUGGGUUCAGGGCCAGGAAUAAUGAGCCCAGAUGGUUUUAAUGAUCAAACUCUUGCCUUUCAUCUGGCUGUAGGAGGAACAAUCACCAGUGAAGGGCCAUAUCCUGUCAGGCUCCCACUGGUGCCUUGGAAAUAUUUCACUGAAGCUGGGAUACUUUCCCAUUCUCCAACCCUCACACCAAGAAGAUGGCUUACCCAUUCCCAGGACUGCUCCAGUAUUCAGGAAUGUGCUAGAAUUUAUAAGCAGUUCCCACAUGAAGUGACUUGACCUGGUCCAUCUGUGAUGAAGUGGUGAAGCUAGGAGAUAAACACGGAUCUUCUGAAGCCAGCCUCAGUUUUAACUGUGCACGAGACAGGGUAAGGAAUGGUAACUGUAAUUAGAAGGCUUCACGUUUCAGUGGCAUGGCACAGUGAGGUUGCUGUUGUGCCCAAGAUUGCGAAUCCGAGAAACCACCAAGGAGCCGACACCUAUGCAGGCGCACGAGGGUUAUUAGCAAGCUCGAGCUUGGGUCCAAGUAUACCCGACACAGUGGAGCAGGGACUUGGACCCCGAAGUGGGUUACAGCUGGGUUUUUUAUAGGCUGGUCUAGGGGAUUUUCAGAAGGGAUGGAGGAACUUCUCAAGUUCUGUUUACAUUUUGAUAUGGGGCUUUCAAGGGCAUUGAGCUCUGUUCUCAUUCUAAUAUGGGACUUUCUACCACGGGUAUGGGCUCUGUUAUCUUUUUGAUAUGGGAUUCCCUGCGAGGGCAUUGAGGACAUUCUGCAGUUUUUCCUAUAAAGUUCAGCUCUUAUUCACAGGGGCCUAAGAUGGCUGUACUUGUGCUAAUGCUAAACUUGAGGUGGAAUGGCCUUGAUUUUUCUUGGCCUCCACGGUUGCCUCUUCUUCUUGUCAGCAGUGUAGGCUGGCAGGGCUGGGGAAUCUGCUUCAUAUAGGCAUGCUGGGACUCAUGUUCAGUUUCCCCGGACAUCAUGGUUUUCCACCACUGGAGAGUCACAGGGCAGGAGAGGGCACACACAGGAGAUUUUGAUAGGCCAGGCCUGGAAAUGGAGCUCAUCACUUCCACCCAGGUUCUUUUGUCCAGAACGUCAUCUCAGCAAGGGUGGCCAAGAUGUCAUUCAACUAUUCGCCCAGGUUCACAAGCCUUGGGAAAGUAGAUUGGAGAGAUUUGCCCUUAGAACUUUGGUUUAUCAAGUCUCCAUGAAGUCUGUCCUGUUGAAGAGACCAAGUUAAACAGUCUCUGGAAAUGACUUUUUUUUUUUUUUUUUUUCCAUUCCAGGGUCUUUUCCUCCUUUAAACUCCCCAGAUUUCGGUCUAUUCCUAUUCACUUUUAGCCCUUCCCUUGAGGCUGCAUUGGGAUCUAUUCAGUCCCUCCCCCCUUUUUUUUAAAAAGAUUUUAUUUAUUUAUUCAUGAGAGACACACAGAGAGAGGCAGAGGCACAGGCAGAGGAAGAAGCAGACUCCAUUCAGGGAGCCCGACGUGGGUGGGACUCGAUCCCGGGACUCCAGGAUCACACCCUGGGCCGAAGGCAGGCGCUAAACCACUGAGCCACCCAGGCUGCCCCAGUUCCCAUUUUGUUUAACUCUUCACCUGUGUAUUUGUCUUUCCCCUCAUGAACCGUAAGCUCUUUAAAGACAAAAAUGAAAAAAAAAAAAUAAAGACAAAAAUGUAUCUAUUGGCA